CAAGCCGCCUGCAGUGGAAGCAUGGAGUCUUAACCACUGGGGUGCCAGGGAAGUCCUGUAAAGUCCCUCUUUUACUUUGCUGUCUCAGCGAGAGAAAGACGGCCCCCUGCCAGGACUUGCCAGUCUGAUUGUCAUCCACUCCAACUCUUCUGUUUCUCUGAGGCAACGUGGUUUCGAUCCCCGACCUGGGCUGAUUCCACAUGCCACAAGCAACUAAACCUGUGCACCUCAACUACUGAAGCCCCCGCACUCUAGAGCCUGCACACAGCAGCAAGAGAACCCACCACAGUGAGAAGCCUGCAAACCGCAUGAAGAGUCGCCGGCACUCCCGCAACUAGAGGAAGCCUGCACAGCAGUGAAGACCCAGUGCUGCCAGAAAUAAAGAAAUGAUUUCUAAGAAGGGGAAAUAAAGU
rnacentral:lncRNA from 1 species